GCACGUUAGAGCCUGGCUUUCUUUUCAUUAACUUAACCUCGUAGCUUGCGCUGGGCGAGAGUUCACUGGGGCGGGGACACGAGCGCGCCCAGUAUGUCCUCCCCAAAUCCAUGCCCGCCAGCGUCCGUGUCCCCGGCUGUAGGUGCUGUCGGCGUGUCAGGCGCAUGCUCGUGCGACGGCCUGGUCUCUGGCCUGCCAAAUGUGGAGAACUGAGGGUCUUAAGGUGCGGUGCACGGGCGGAUCACGGCAAUACGCCAACGGGUGCAGGCAGCUUGUCGCUAAUUCCGGGAUGGAAGCGUGGGACUUGCCCCACGCCCCAACUCACGCGAUAUGGGUCGAUGGCGUUGCUCUUUCCAGGCAUACAGUCACGUGGCUUUGAA
rnacentral:lncRNA from 1 species